UCGAGGAUCUUCGGCAAUGGACGCAAGUCUGACCGAGCGACGCCGCGUGCGGGAUGAAGGCCUUCGGGUUGUAAACCGCUGUCAGUGGGGAGGAAGGCUCCGUGAAGAGCGGAGUUUGACCUAUCUUCAGAGGAAGUACGGGCUAAGUUCGUGCCAGCAGCCGCGGUAAGACGAACCGUACAAACGUUAUUCGGAAUCACUGGGCUUAAAGGGUGCGUAGGCGGCGUGGCAAGUUGGGUGUGAAAGCCCUCGGCUCAACCGAGGAAUUGCGCCCAAAACUGCCAUGCUUGAGGGAGACAGAGGUGAGCGGAACUUAGGGUGGAGCGGUGAAAUGCGUUGAUAUCCUAAGGAACACCAGUUGCGAAAGCGGCUCACUGGGUCUCUUCUGACGCUGAGGCACGAAAGCUAGGGUAGCGAACGGGAUUAGAUACCCCCGUAGUCC
rnacentral:rRNA from 1 species